GAUGAACGCUGGCGGCGUGCCUAAUACAUGCAAGUCGAGCGAACAGACGAGGAUCUUGCUCCUCUGACGUUAGCGGCGGACGGGUGAGUAACACGUGGAUAACCCACCUAUAAGACUGGGAUAACGUCGGGAAACCGGAGCUAAUACCGGAUAACAUGUUGAACCGCAUGGUUCAACAGUGAAAGACGGUCUUGCUGUCACUUAUAGAUGGAUCUGCGCUGCAUUAGCUAGUUGGUAAGGUAACGGGCUACCAAGUGAACGAUGCGUAGCCGACCGGAGAGGGGGGUCGGCGGCAUGAGAGCUGGGACGCGGACCAGGCUCCUGAGGGAGGCAGCAGAAGGCAAUCUGCGGCAAUGGGGGGAAACAUUGCACAACGGCGGCGCGUCAGAGGAGGAGGUGCUGGGUGCGUAAAGCUCUGUUAUGGGGGAAGAACAAAUGUGUAAGGAGAUAUGCACGUCGUGACGGUACCUAAUCAGGAAGCCACGGCUAACUACGUG
rnacentral:rRNA from 1 species